AGCGGCGCGCUUAAUGCAUGCAAGUCGAGCGAUGAGGCUCCUUCGGGGGUACAUCAGCGGCAGACGGGUGAGUAACACGUAGGUGACCUACCCUCGAGACGGGGAUAACGGCUGGAAACAGUCGCUAAUACCCGAUAGACUUACCAGGUCAAAGCGGUAAGAAAAGCUACGGUGCUUGGGGAGGGGCCUGCGGCCCAUCAGCUAGUUGGUAGGGUAACGGCCUACCAAGGCGAAGACGGGUAGGGGGUGUGAGAGCACGAGCCCCCACAAUGGGACUGCGACACGGCCCAUACUCCUACGGGAGGCAGCAGCAGGGAAUAUUGCACAAUGGACGGAAGUCUGAUGCAGCGACGCCGCGUGAGUGAAGACGGCCUUCGGGUUGUAAAGCUCCUUUACGGGGACGAGGAAGGACGGUACCCUGGGAAGAAGUGUCGGCUAACUACGUGCCAGCAGCCGCGGUAAGACGUAGGACACAAGCGUUAUCCGGAGUUACUGGGCGUAAAGCGCCUGCAGGCGGCCUGGUAAGUUGGACGUGAAAGCCCCGUGCUUAACGCGGGGAGGUCGGACAAUACUGCCAAGCUAGAGUGCGUCAGAGGGGAGUGGAAUUUCCGGGGUAGCGGUAAAAUGCGCAGAUAUCGGAAGGAACACCAGUGGCGAAAGCGACUCCCUGGGGCGCGACUGACGCUAAGAGGCGAAAGCUAGGGGAGCGAACAGGAUUAGAGACCCUGGUAGUCCUAGCCCUAAACGAUGGAUGCUAGGUGUGGGACGUAAAGUUCCGUGCCGGAGCCAACGCGAUAAGCAUCCCGGCUGGGGACUACGGUCGCAAGGCUAAAACUCAAACGAAUUGACGGGGACCCGCACAAGCAGCGGAGCGUGUGGUUCAAUUCGAUGCUACACG
rnacentral:rRNA from 1 species